UGACGCUGAGGAGCGAAAGCGUGGGGAGCGAACAGGAUUAGAUACCCUGGUAGUCCACGCCGUAAACGAUGAGUGCUAAGUGUUAGGGGGUUUCCGCCCCUUAGUGCUGCAGCUAACGCAUUAAGCACUCCGCCUGGGGAGUACGGUCGCAAGACUGAAACUCAAAGGAAUUGACGGGGGCCCGCACAAGCGGUGGAGCAUGUGGUUUAAUUCGAAGCAACGCGAAGAACCUUACCAGGUCUUGACAUCCUCUGACAACCCUAGAGAUAGGGCUUUCCCUUCGGGGACAGAGUGACAGGUGGUGCAUGGUUGUCGUCAGCUCGUGUCGUGAGAUGUUGGGUUAAGUCCCGCAACGAGCGCAACCCUUGAUCUUAGUUGCCAGCAUUUAGUUGGGCACUCUAAGGUGACUGCCGGUGACAAACCGGAGGAAGGUGGGGAUGACGUCAAAUCAUCAUGCCCCUUAUGACCUGGGCUACACACGUGCUACAAUGGACAGAACAAAGGGCUGCGAGACCGCAAGGUUUAGCCAAUCCCAUAAAUCUGUUCUCAGUUCGGAUCGCAGUCUGCAACUCGACUGCGUGAAGCUGGAAUCGCUAGUAAUCGCGGAUCAGCAUGCCGCGGUGAAUACG
rnacentral:rRNA from 1 species